UGGGGAAUAUUGCACAAUGGGCGCAAGCCUGAUGCAGCCAUGCCGCGUGUAUGAAGAAGGCCUUCGGGUUGUAAAGUACUUUCAGCGGGGAGGAAGGGAGUAAAGUUAAUACCUUUGCUCAUUGACGUUACCCGCAGAAGAAGCACCGGCUAACUCCGUGCCAGCAGCCGCGGUAAUACGGAGGGUGCAAGCGUUAAUCGGAAUUACUGGGCGUAAAGCGCACGCAGGCGGUUUGUUAAGUCAGAUGUGAAAUCCCCGGGCUAAACCUGGGAACUGCAUCUGAUACUGGCAAGCUUGAGUCUCGUAGAGGGGGGUAGAAUUCCAUGUGUAGCGGUGAAAUGCGUAGAGAUGUGGAGGAAUACCGGUGGCGAAGGCGGCCCCCUGGACAAAGACUGACGCUCAGGUGCGAAAGCGUGGGGAGCAAACAGG
rnacentral:rRNA from 1 species